AAUCCAUGUUGUGGACACUUCCGCAAGAGAUCAUUGAAUCGCUCCUACGUCUCAAACAAGGAUUCAAACUCCAUUUCAACAAACGACGAUAUCUCAUUACGAAGCUU